rnacentral:rRNA from 1 species
GAUGAACGCUGGCGGCGUGCCUAAUACAUGCAAGUCGAGCGAACGGACGAGAAGCUUGCUUCUCUGAUGUUAGCGGCGGACGGGUGAGUAACACGUGGAUAACCUACCUAUAAGACUGGGAUAACUUCGGGAAACCGUAGCUAAUACCGGAUAAUAUUUUGAACCGCAUGGUUCAAAAGUGAAAGACGGUCUUGCUGUCACUUAUAGAUGGAUCCGCGCUGCAUUAGCUAGUUGGUAAGGUAACGGCUUACCAAGGCAACGAUGCAUAGCCGACCAGCGAGGGUGAUCGGCCACACUGGGACUGAGACACGGUCCAGACUCCUACGGGAGGCAGCAGUAGGGAAUCUUCCGCAAUGGGAGAAAGCCUGACGGAGCAACGCCGCGUGAGUGAUGAAGGUCUUCGGAUCGUAAAACUCUGUUAUUAGGGAAGAACAUAUGUGUAAGUAACUGUGCACAUAUUGACGGUACCUAAGCAGAAAGCCACGGCUAACUACGUG